GAUGAACGCUGGCGGCGUGCCUAAUACAUGCAAGUCGAGCGAACGGACGAGAAGCUUGCUUCUCUGCUGUUAGCGGCGGACGGGUGAGUAACACGUGGAUAACCUACCUAUAAGACUGGGAUAACUUCGGGAAACCGUAUCUAAUACCGGAUAAUAUUUUGAACCGCAUGGUUCAAAAGUGAUAGACGGUCUUGCUGUCACUUAUAGCUGGAUCCGCGCUGCAUUAGCUAGUUGGUAAGGUACCGGCUUACCAAGGCAACGAUGCAUAGCCGACCUGAGAGGGUGAUCGGCCACACUGGAACUGAGACACGGUCCAGACUCCUACGGGAGGCAGCAGUAGGGAAUCUUGCGCAAUGGGCGAAAGCCUGACGGAGCAACGCCGCGUGAGUGAUGAAGGUCUUCGGAUCGUAAAACUCUGUUAUUAGGAAAGAACAGAUGUAUAAGUAACUGCGCACAUCUUGACGGUACCUAAUCAGAAAGCCACGGCUAACUACGUG
rnacentral:rRNA from 1 species